rnacentral:rRNA from 1 species
GACGAACGCUGGCGGCGUGCUUAACACAUGCAAGUCGAACGAAGAGCGAUGGAAGCUUGCUUCUAUCAAUCUUAGUGGCGCACGGGUGAGUAACGCGUAAUCAACCUGCCCUUCAGAGGGGGACAACAGUUGGAAACGACUGCUAAUACCGCAUACGAUCUAAUCUCGGCAUCGAGGAUAGAUGAAAGGUGGCCUCUACAUGUAAGCUAUCACUGAAGGAGGGGAUUGCGUCUGAUUAGCUAGUUGGAGGGGUAACGGCCCACCAAGGCGAUGAUCAGUAGCCGGUCUGAGAGGAUGAACGGCCACAUUGGGACUGGGACAAGGCCCAGACUCCUACGGGAGGCAGCAGUGGGGAAUCUUCCGGAAUGGACGAAAGGCUGACGGAGCAACGCCGCGUGAGUGAUGACGGCCUUCGGGUUGUAAAGCUCUGUUAAUCGGGACGAAAGGCCUUCUUGCGAAUAGUGAGAAGGAUUGACGGUACCGGAAUAGAAAGCCACGGCUAACUACGUG